AGUGUCGAACGGCAGCACGGACUUCGGUCUGGUGGCGAGUGGCGAACGGGUGAGUAAUGUAUCGGAACGUGCCUAGUAGGGGGAUAACUACGCGAAAGCGUAGCCAAUACCGCAUAAUGGCCCUUCGGGGGAAAGCGGGGACCUUUCGGGCCUCGCACUAUUAGAGCGGCCGAUAUCGGAUUAGCUAGUUGGUGGGUAACGGCUCACUCAAGGCGACGAUCCGUAGCUGGUUUGAGAGGACGACCAGCCACACUGGGACUGAGACACGGCCCAGACUCCUACGGGAGGCAGCAGUGGGGAAUUUUGGACAAUGGGGGAAACUCCUGAUCCAGCCAUCCCGCGUGUGCGAUGAAGGCCUUCGGGUUGUAAAGCACUUUUGGCAGGAAAGAAACGGCACGGAUACCCUGUGCAACUGACGGUACCUGCAGAAUAAGCACCGGCUAACUACGCCAGCAGCCGCGGUAAUACGUAGGGGUGCAAGCGUUAAUCGGAAUUACUGGGCGUAAAGCGUGCGCAGGCGGUUCGGAAAGAAAGAUGUGAAAUCUCGGAGCUUAACUUUGGAACUGCAUUUUUAACUACCGAGCUAGAGUGUGUCAGGAGGGAGGUGGAAUUCCGCGUGUAGCAGUGAAAUGCGUAGAUAUGCGGAGGAACACCGAUGGCGAAGGCAGCCUCUGGGAUAACACUGACGCUCAUGCACGAAAGCGUGGUGAGCAAACAGGAUUAGAUAUUCUGGUAGUCCACGCCCUAAACGAUGUCAACCAGCUGUUGGGGGCCUUCUGGCCUUGGUAGCGCAGCUAACGCGUGAAGUUGACCGCCUGGGAGUACGGUCGCAAGAUUAAAACUCAAAGGAAUUGGACGGGGACCCGCACAAGCGGUGGAUGAUGUGGAUUAAUUCCGAUGCAACGCGAAAACCUUACCUACCCUUGACAUGUCUGGAAUCCCGAAGAGAUUUGGGAGUGCUCGCAAGAGAACCGGAACACAGGUGCUGCAUGGCUGUCGUCAGUUCGUGCCGAGAUGUUGCUAAGUCCCGCAACGAGCGCAACCCUUGUCAUUAGUUGCUACGAAAGGCACUCUAAUGAGACUGCCGGUGACAACCGGAGGAAGGUGGGGAUGACGCCAAGUCCGCGGCCUUGCGGUAGGCUCAGCUGACGUCGUACAAUGAGCCGACAGAGGGUCGCCAACGCGAGGGGGAGCCAAUCCCAGAAACCCGAUCGUAGUCUGGAUCGCAGUCUGCAACUCGACUGCGUGAAGUCGGAAUCGCUAGUAAUCGCGGAUCAGCAUGUCGCGGUGAAUACGUUCCCGGGUCUGUACACACCCGCCCGUCACAUGGGAGUGGGUUUUACCAGAAGUAGUUAGCCUAACCGUAAGGAGGGCGAUUACCACGGGUAGGAUUCAUGACUGGGGUGAAGUCGUAACAAGGUAA
rnacentral:rRNA from 1 species